UACGUAGGGUGCAAGCGUUGUCCGGAAUUAUUGGGCGUAAAGAGCUCGUAGGCGGUCUGUCGCGUCUGUUGUGAAAACUCAGGGCUUAACUCCGGGCCUGCAGUGGGUACGGGCAGACUAGAGUGCGGUAGGGGAGACUGGAAUUCCUGGUGUAGCGGUGAAAUGCGCAGAUAUCAGGAGGAACACCGGUGGCGAAGGCGGGUCUCUGGACAGUUCCUGACGCUGAGGCACGAAGGCCAGGGGAGCAAACGGG
rnacentral:rRNA from 1 species